UACUUUUUUUUUUUUUUUUUUUUUUUUUUUUUUUUUUUUUUUUUUUUUUUUUUUUUUUUUUUGAGAUUUGACAAAACCACCGCUGCAAGUCUGAAAAUCG
rnacentral:ribozyme from 1 species